rnacentral:rRNA from 1 species
UACGAAGGGGGGCUAGCGUUGCUCGGAAUCACUGGGCGUAAAGGGUGCGUAGGCGGGUCUUUAAGUCAGGGGUGAAAUCCUGGAGCUCAACUCCAGAACUGCCUUUGAUACUGAAGAUCUUGAGUUCCGGGAGAGGUGAGUGGAACUGCGAGUGUAGAGGUGAAAUUCGUAGAUAUUCGCAAGAACACCAGUGGCGAAGGCGGCUCACUGGCC